rnacentral:rRNA from 1 species
UACGGAGGGUGCAAGCGUUAUCCGGAUUUACUGGGUUUAAAGGGUGCGUAGGCGGGUUGAUAAGUCAGGGGUGAAACCUCCGAGCUUAACUCGGAAACUGCCUUUGAUACUAUCAGUCUUGAAUUCAGUUGAGGUGGGCGGAAUGUGUCGUGUAGCGGUGAAAUGCUUAGAUAUGACACAGAACACCAAUUGCGAAGGCAGCUCGCUAAACUGACAUUGACGCUGAGGCACGAAAGCCAGGGGAGCAAACGGG